CCCUGUUGCACAACUGCUCUUAAACCGAGACCUAUAGGCAGAAUAAUACUUCGUCUCUAAUAUCCAGAAGGGAAGGGAUUUCUGGAAAUAUAGUAUCAC
ncrna:unclassified sequences PhotoRC-II RNA